UAAUGAACCCGACCAGAGGGAUGGGUCGGGGGUUCUAGAGUGCUGGGGUGACCCAUCUAUCUGCCUCUUUAAAACGGCCAGGAGCGUCCACCAUACGGUAGUUCAACGGAACUUAGCAGAAGAAAAACCUCACCAUGUCGAAGUGGCUUCCUCUGGCUUCACUCCUGCUGCUGCUCCUCCUCGUAUGGACGGAGACAGUGGCUCCAGCCCAAGUGGAUCUCGACAGACUGGCCGUCAUGGAAGAGAUAGAAAGAAAAGGCGCAGGUGGAAACGCCACUAUGCUGAGCUGGAUAAACUGGCUUAACUUAGGGCUUAGCAUCCUUGGUCGUAAAUCUUGUGAUGACAUGGGUUGUUCGGCUCGCGGUGGAACGUGUGGAUACAUUAACAAUUUUAAAAAAUGCUCACUGAAGACCAAGACUUUGUGCACUGGAUUAUGCACCUGCUGCGUCCCAUAAGCUCCCCCGGGAGACGGUCUCGCCAGCAUCCACAACAUUUCGAAGACGACGAAUUUGGACUGAAGAAAGGACGACUCCAUUUCGGGGACACUCAGAAGUCGUAUUGAGGCCACAGUUUGCUCAACAAAAACUGCGAUCGAAGGACGAAAAAACUCGACACUAUUUCCUUAAAUCUAAAGAGCGACUUCUUGAGUUACCUCAAUGGCAGAAAAUGAAUUUAGUAUCACACUAAAUUUUAUUUUGGUGCCGUUGGUAAACCCAAGAAGGCAGUCACUAGAUCAUUUGUGUCUGACAGGUAGAGUUGGAAUUGCUUUGGAAGAAUCUGAAGACAAUGAUUCACAACGAACUGUUGUCAAGACCAGGAAGUGCUUUUGAGUGUUCCUUUAAAGCGCAUAAAAUUUUACUACUAUUAUAUUUGUUCGUUUUUUGUUUAUUUACUGCUGUCUUUAUCAACAUUGCAUUAGUUCCUUGCACAAAGGCAAUUCUGACCACAAUCCAAUCAUUGUAGUGACAGCUGUCGACAAAUCUGUAAAACCUCGGCUGCAGCAAUUUCCUCUUGAAUCUUAAAAUUUAACGACUUUUUGCUUGUGAUAAAAUUGGAAGGUUUUUUUGUGGGGAGGGAACCAGUUGGAGAUGGAAGCCGAGUCCACGGAAUUGGUUGUCCUACAUUUCACUGGUCUUCAAAUACGGUUUCUGUUCGAUUUCAUAAGAUUUUGCACAAAUUAGAGCACCGCUAUCUCUCUCUCUCUCUCUAUGUAUUAAUGUAUUAGAGUGAAGAGUUGUUGAACACUGUAAAACACCAAAAGGCAAUAAAUAGAAAAGCUUU